AAGAAACCAUUUUUCAUAAAAAAAAUUAUCUAUUACAUUACAUUCAAAUGAACAUUAUCCAUACAAUUACAAAAAAUGAAGAUUUUUGGUAGAGUUGACUUUUUAGUCAACAGUUGAUCAAAGUCAACUACAUAAUCUAAAAACCCUAAUGAAGCUCUUUUGCUUUCAUCUUCAAUCAUGCCUUGAUCAUCUUUUCAUGCCAUGUGUGCCAUAACCUCUCCAUCUGCCAUAACU
rnacentral:lncRNA from 1 species